rnacentral:rRNA from 1 species
UCGAGAAUCUUCCGCAAUGGACGAAAGUCUGACGGAGCGACGCCGCGUGCGGGAUGAAGGCCCUUGGGUUGUAAACCGCUGUCAGAGGGGAUGAAAUCUUCGGAGGUACUCCUCCGAAGUUGACAGAACCUCAAAGGAAGCACGGGCUAAGUACGUGCCAGCAGCCGCGGUAACACGUACUGUGCGAACGUUAUUCGGAAUCACUGGGCUUAAAGGGUGCGUAGGCGGCGAUUCAAGUCAGAUGUGAAAUGCCUGAGCUCAACUGAGGCAUUGCGUUUGAAACUGAUUCGCUGGAGUAUUUCAGGGGUGUGCGGAACUGCCAGUGGAGCGGUGAAAUGUGUUGAUAUUGGCAGGAACACCGGAGGCGAAAGCGGCACACUGGGGAAUAACUGACGCUGAGGCACGAAAGCCAGGGGAGCGAACGGGAUUAGAUACCCCAGUAGUCCCUGAGCGGGCUGGCAAGGCGCAU